AAGAGCAAUCUGCUAAUAGAUGGGCUUGCGUCUGAUUAGCUAGUUGGUGUGGUAAAGGCAUACCAAGGCAACGAUCAGUAGCCGGACUGAGAGGUUGAACGGCCACAUUGGGACUGAGAUACGGCCCAGACUCCUACGGGAGGCAGCAGUCGGGAAUAUUGGGCAAUGGGCGCAAGCCUGACCCAGCAACGCCGCGUGAAGGAAGAAGGCUUUCGGGUUGUAAACUUCUUUUAACAGGGACGAAAUAAAUGACGGUACCUGUUGAAUAAGCCACGGCUAACUAC
rnacentral:rRNA from 1 species